AAGGACGCCUGCGGCCUACAGCUCAGAAUUUGGGACCUGGAGGAAGUGAAUUUAUGGACCUCUGGAUCUGAAAAGGCAAAUGAUUGUUUCAAAAGAACUUAAAAGAUGGGAAAACCCCACUGAAGCUCCCACUUCAGAGAUUCUACCUUUCAGCCUCAAGCCAGCCUGCAAGAUUAUACUCACAUCUCCAAGUUCCAGCUUUGGCUCCUGGUGUUGAAAUAGCCCCAGCCAGCAGCAUUCUG